rnacentral:rRNA from 1 species
UUCCGGUUGAUCCCGCCGGGACCUGACUGCUAUCGGAUUGAUACUAAGCCAUGCGAGUCAUUGUAGCAAUACAAGGCAGACGGCUCAGUAACGCGUAGUCAAUCUACCCUAUGGACGGGAAUAAUCUCGGGAAACUGAGAAUAAUGCCCGAUAGAACAUUAUGCCUGGAAUGGUUUAUGUUUCAAAUGAUUUAUCGCCAUAGGAUGGGACUGCGGCCUAUCAGUUUGUUGGUGAGGUAAUGGCCCACCAAGACUAUUACAGGUACGGGCUCUGAGAGGAGUGGCCCGGAGAUGGGUACUGAGACACGGACCCAGGCCCUAUGGGGCGCAGCAAGCGAGAAAACUUUGCAAUGUGCGAAAGCACGACAAGGUUAAUCCGAGUGGUUUCUGCUAAAGAAACCUUUUGUCAGUCCUAGAAACACUAACGAAUAAGGGGUGGGCAAGUUCUGGUGUCAGCCGCCGCGGUAAAACCAGCACCUCAAGUGGUCAGGAUGAUUAUUGGGCCUAAAGCAUCCGUAGCUCGUUUUGUAAGUUUUCGGUUAAAUCCAUGCGCUUAACGUAUGGGCUGCCGGGAAUACUGCAUAACUAGGAAGUGGGAGAGGUAGACGGUACUCGGUAGGAAGGGGUAAAAUCCUUUGAUCUAUUGAUGACCACCUGUGGCGAAGGCGGUCUACCAGAACACGUUCGACGGUGAGGGAUGAAAGCUGGGGGAGCAAACCGGAUUAGAUACCCGGGUAGUCCCAGCUGUAAACUAUGCAAACUCAGUGAUGCAUUGGCUUGUGGCCAAUGCAGUGCUGCAGGGAAGCCGUUAAGUUUGCCGCCUGGGAAGUACGUACGCAAGUAUGAAACUUAAAGGAAUUGGCGGGGGAGCACCACAAGGGGUGAAGCCUGCGGUUCAAUUGGAUCAACGCC